rnacentral:rRNA from 1 species
GAUGAACGCUGGCGGCGUGCCUAAUACAUGCAAGUCGAGCGAACGGACGAGAAGCUUGCUUCUCUGAUGUUAGCGGCGGACGGGUGAGUAACACGUGGAUAACCUACCUAUAAGACUGGGAUAACUUCGGGAAACCGGAGCUAAUACCGGAUAAUAUUUUGAACCGCAUGGUUCAAAAGUGAAAGACGGUCUUGCUGUCACUUAUAGAUGGAUCCGCGCUGCAUUAGCUAGUUGGUAAGGUAACGGCUUACCAAGGCAACGAUGCAUAGCCGACCUGAGAGGGUGAUCGGCCACACUGGAACUGAGACACGGUCCAGACUCCUGCGGGAGGCAGCAGUAGGGAAUCUUCCGCAAUGGGCGAAGGCCUGACGGAGCAACGCCGCGUGAGUGAUGAAGGUCUUCGGAUCGUAAAACUCUGUUAUUAGGGAAGAACAUAUGUGUAAGUAACUGUGCACAUCUUGACGGUACCUAAUCAGAAAGCCACGGCUAACUACGUG